UACGGGGGGGGCAAGCGUUGUUCGGAAUUACUGGGCGUAAAGGGCUCGUAGGUGGCCAAUUAAGUCGGACGUGAAAUCCCUCAGCUUAACUGGGGAACUGCGUCCGAUACUGGAUGGCUUGAGUUUGGGAGAGGGAUGCGGAAUUCCUGGUGUAGCGGUGAAAUGCGUAGAUAUCGGGAGGAACACCUGUGGCGAAGGCGGCCCCCUGGUUGGAGUACUGACGGCUGA
rnacentral:rRNA from 1 species